CCGUCCCCAGCGGCGGCCGGUGCGCGGCAGCGGCGGCGGCCGCUCCUCGUCGUCGUCGUCGUCGCCCGGGAGGCGGCCGCCCCCAUCUCCCCGCGCGCCGCAGGGUCUGUCAGUGCGGGCCGCCCCCCGACGGAGCCGCCCCGGCCAUGCCGCCUCCUGCGCUUGCGCCCAGGCCGGCCGUUACCCGCUGCGAGGCUGGGCGCGGCGCCCGGACGGGCCUGGCGUGGCGGAGUGAUCCAGCCGGACCCGCGGACGGAUCGCGGCCCGGGCCGUCGGAGCUGAGCAGAGCGCGCUCGCGAGCACGGGCGGCCGCGGCCAGCGGAGUGGGCGGGGUGGCCGCCUCUCGCGACAGCCCGGGCAGGCCGGGCCCGCCCCCCCACGCCGAUUGGCCCGGCCGCCUGUUCUGCGGUCGGACUCGGGCCAGCAGCUUCGCAGGAUUGGUCAGAGCCGAGGCCCCGCCUCUGAGAGGCACUGUCGAUCACUCCGGGCCCGCCCUCACCCGCCCCCCUGGCGACCGGCGCUAGCGGAUUGGUCGGCGGGAAUCGGAAUGGUGGAAAAUCUGGGAUGGAUUCUUGGGCGCUUUUGUUCCCUCAGAUUAGCCUGGAGCCUUGUUUUUGGGAAAAGACGGGCGUUGGGCCUUGGUGCUUUAUUCACGAACGUGAUGGCAAGGAGGUGGCGAUGGGCCUUAGAAGAACUACUGGCGCCGGGUUUCCCUCUGAUCUGCCCGAGCCACGCUGUGUGACCUUGGGCGAGUCGCUAUUUCUCUCUAAACCCUAGGCGCCUCCCGGGGAAGAUGCGGGUAAUAAUACACUCCCGGGGGGCUGCUGAGAAGGUGGUGAGCUCACAGUGGGCAAGCACCUGCGUUUUUGAGGCGGCAGGCCCGCUUAGGGCGAAGGUGAUGGGAAGAGCAAGCCUUCUCCCCAACAUCUGUCAGCCAGGUCUGUCAGCCGGCCAGUCAGCCCGCCCUGUCAACGGGAAACCUCGGGCCCUGGAACGGAGAAAAUGCAAACCCACGGGCAGGGUCAGGGCUCAAGGACUGCCUCAACCCUGGCUUUUGAUUGGCACCGAGAAGCAGUUGGGGGAAGGGGAGGCGAGCAUCCAGCCCCUUCCAGUGCUUAGGAUGCAGGGCCCUCCUUGUGCAGACAGAGAAACUGAGACCCGGGACGAGAUGCCCCACUCCCAUCCCUGGAUGGUGUUCUCUGAUGUCCUGGAGGUAUAGGACGACUGUCCCUUCCUGGGCAUAGGAUAUCGGUACCUGGGUCAAGCUGAGCCCCGCUGCAGAGCCUGCAGUCAAGUCUGUGAAACCAGUAAAUAGAGCCUGCCUGUCUGGUCCAAGGUGCUGAAAACUCUAGGCAGAACAUUCCUGGCCUCGCGUCUCCCACCUUGAGCGGAUAUUGCCCGCCAAGAGCCGCCAGGAUCCCCAGAUCCAGUCUGACUUUACCCCAAUUAACUCCAUCAACAGAGAACCCAUUUCCAAGCAAAACAACAUGCCGUGGUUAUGGAUGCCUGCAGGUUUUUGGAGGACACUGUGCAGCCCUGAGUGCUCCCUCUUUUGCGGUGGACCUGGCUCUGUUUGGUAAAACAACGACGACGAUGAAGCAUUCCAGUAAAGCAUUUAACUUGUCAAGGCAUAAAGAUUGCCUAAGAAAGACUUUCAGUUCGGGAUAUCAGCAUCACCCUUUUGAAGGGAAAAAGGAAAUAAACAGGGAAAACAAGCAGCUGAAGGUCACGUGUGAAGUUGUCUCACAAGGCAACCGAGGAGACUUCUCCUGAGCCUCAGAGCCAGGUGUGACAGUGUCCACCUGUCGUCCCAGCACCCAGAGAGUGGAGACAGGGAUUGUGGGUUCCACCCCAGCCUGGACAAAUAGGGAGACCCUGUUUUAAAAAACAGGCAUGGGACCAGACACAGUGGCACACGCCUUUAAUCCCAGCACUCAGGCGGCAAAGGCAGACGGCUCUCUGUGAGGUCGAGGCCGUUCACAGUGAGACCUUGUCUUAAAGAAAACAAAACCAGACAUCAGCGACGAGUCCUCAGGGCCGGAGACGUCUGCCGGCUGUGAGAUGCACUUUGCACUUUCACAGAGUGCAUAAGCUUCAAGAGCACCGCACACUUUGCUCUACUAAGUCAAGGAAAACAUUUGUUUGUUUGUUUCUUUCUUUCUUUCUGUGAUCCAGUUUCAUUAUGUUCUGAAAGCUGGAAGGAAUUAAAUUACCUGUCUCAGCAGCUCCUAGAACCACAUUGACCCAAUGGCAUUAAAGCUUUGUAAAAUUGCAUUUAGUGUGUGUGUGUGUGUGGACAACUUGGGUCCUCUGGAAGAGCAACAAGUUCUCUUAACCAAUGAACCAUCUGUCCAGCCCUCCUACCCAACCAUGGCUUUUAAAAAUACUCAGGAUGAUGCUUUAAUUAUUUUGAAAUGAAAUUCACAAAUAUAUAUAUAUCUGGGACUAGAGAGAUGGCUCCUCAGUUAAGAGUACUGGCUGCUCUUCCAGAAGAUUCAGGUUCGAUUACCAGCAUCCACAUGGCAGCUCCCAACCAUCUUUAACUCUAGUCCCAGAAGAUCCGAUGUCCUCUUCUGGCCUCCAAGGACACUGCAUGUACAUGCAGGCCAACCACCCAUGCCCAUAAAAAUAAAUAUUAAAAAAACAAAACAACACUUCACUUACACACUAAGAACAAUGCAGUGCCCCAUGUGUGCCUUAAAGAACAGUAAUAAUGAAGUGACAGGAAUUUACAGACGUAUCUAGGUCUGACCUCUCAGACGACUUGGCGGAUGCUGUGACCCAGUGGAUCAUCCUGGUGUGUGUGUCACGUGGAGACCCAGAGACCACGGCAGCCUUGCUGCAAGACAAGGCUAGAGGAUCAGUAAAUUUCCAGGGCAGAAGAAAGGAGUUCCCAUGAUCACAUGGCGGGCACCUUCCUAGAACAUCCAAGCUGUGUGACAACUUUGGAAAAAACAAACAAAAAGCCAAAUCCUUCCAGACCCUUGAACAUUUGAUUGCUGGAGGGUCUGGUGGGAUAUGGGGAAAUGGGGAGACUGCAAGUCUCCAGGAUGCCCCCAGGGGGCAGCACUGAUGCCCCCAAUGAAGACCAUAGAUCUUUGCUGUUUGGUGUGUGUGUGUGUGUGUGUGUGUGUGUGUGUGUGUGUGUGUGUGUGUGUAUCUGUGGAAAUCAGAGGUCAAUGUCAAGUGUCUUCUGUCACUUCUCCACCUGUUUUUUUGACACAGGGUCUUUCACUGAACCUGUAGCUUAGCGUUGUGUCUAGACUGGCUGAUCCACAAGCUCCAAGCCCCAGGCGUCUUCCUGUCUCCACCCCCACAUCACCGGGAUUAAAGGUGUGCACCACCACACCUGACUUUUACGUAGGUGGUAGGAUCCAAACUCAGAUCCUCAUGCUUAUGAAGCAAAGCACAUUACUUACUGAGCCAUCUUCCCAGAUCUGUCAAUUUUGAGACAAAGCCUCUGUAUGCAGCUCAGGCUAGCCUACCAGCCUAAUAUUGAAGUAGUUGUCCUGACUCUUGUCUACUAAGCACUGGGAUUACAGGUGUGCAACUUCGUCCUUGGCUGCUCUCUCUCUCUCUCUCUCUCUCUCUCUCUCUCUCUCUCUCUCUCUCUCUCUCUCCCCUCACAUCCCUUCCUCCCUCUCUCCCUCUCUCUCUCUAGGUCUCAUAGAUAACCCAGGCUGGCUUUGACAGGCAUGCACCAUCAUGCAUGGUUUAUGCUGUGCUGGGAAUUGAACCAAGACUUUGUGCAUGCUAGCCAAGCAUUCUACCCACUGAACCACACCCCAGCUCUUACCUGGUCAUUUGAAAAAUAUUUUAUGUGUUUAUGCAUGUAUGUCUGUGUACUUUAUGCAUGCUUGGUGCCCAAGGAGGCCAGGAGAAGGCAUUUGAUCCCCUGCAACUGGAGUUAAAAACAGUUGUGACCUGCCAUGUGGGUGCUGGGAAUUGAACCCCAGGUCCUCUAGAAGAACAGCAAGUGCUCUUAGCCACCGAGACACCUCUACAGCCCCUGGUCUGGUCCCUUUUUUGUUUGUUUGUUUUUUGAGACAGGGUUUCCCUCAUGUAGACCUGCCUCUACCUCCCAAGUAUUGGGAUUAAAGGCAUGUGCCACCACACCCAGCCCUCUGGUCAUUAUUUAAAUUUAGCCAAAUGAAGCUGAAAGUGAGCCUGAGGCAGAACACAGUUGCUGGCAGGAUGGUGACGCAAGGGACUGGGGUACUGCCAUCUUAGCACUGGCUCCUUCCCCUCGGUACCUGGUUUCUGUUUUCCAGCCGAGGGAAACACAGAACUUCUAGGCUGCAUAGCCUUAUGAGCUAGCAUGCUGGCAGGAGAAAGAGGGACUCCUCCAGGGAUCUCCAGCCCAUUUUACAGAGAAGCGUUCAGACUGUACCAUGAAUCAGAUGGGCCUACGUUCAUGCCAGCUCUCCCAUUGGAGGGCUGUCUGCCCAUGAAUGGCUGUGGGAUAGAGACAGUAUUUGGAAGUGCCUGGCACUCAGGGUGAAGAGUGUUUGGCCUCUCACUUGCCUGAAGCAAUCCCUCAAUGCCUCAGUCAUUCCAGCCAGCAUGUCCUACUCCCUCGGUUCAGAAGACAGAGUCAGUGAUUUGGCCAGGGCUGCAGUCGUUUGCUGGUAGGGCUCCUGAGAGCCAACUGCAUUCAUCCAACUCCCUGUUCGCUCGUCCGGAAUCACCAAUAUGCAUUUAAAGAGUCACAGAUCUUCAGUCACAGCUCGCUCCCCCUGUCCCUCCAGAGAAUCAGGUACUAAGUGCAUAUCAGCACACCACAACUCUUAGUGUGUUCUGUCAAGCUGCCUGGAGCCCGAGAGGGUCAGGCAGGACAAUCCAGGUUAAGUCACAUUCAGUUUACUGCCUCAGGCUCUACCACACUUCAGUUGACCGGGCUGCCUUCCUCAUCCAGUAUCUGAGAGCUAUGUGCUUGCUGACCCCUGCCUCUCAACAGACCCUGAGAGAGUCUGCAUGGUGUGGGGAGUGCUGGAGAAAACUUCCUCCCUAGUGGAAGGGAUGUAGAGGAAGAAACAACCCCUCUUUUGGGACAUUUUCAUGUGUAUACAUAUGUCAGCAUUGCAGAAGUUAUUAUGCUACACGCUCAGAUCCUUUUUGGCCAAAUGACCUGUCAUUUUUAGCUCUGAGGGUACAGACUCAGAAGCCAAUGUGAGGAGGGGGAACAAGGGAGGAACUCCAAGGGAAUAGUGGGAGGCACAGAAGUAAGCGGAAAGCAGAAGGUGAGGGCAGGACUGUGCCUCAGCAGACAGUGGCAGAGGAACCAGGAGAUGCUCACAGCUGGAACCUGCCCAAAGCCACCCAUAAAGAAAGCAAGCCUGGGGUUGGGGAUUUAGCUCAGUGGUAGAGCGCUUGCCUAGCAAAUGCAAGGCCCUGGGUUCAGUCCUCAGCUCUGGAAAAAAAAAA